CAGUAGCCGCGGGAAAACGAGGGGUGCAAGCGUUAUUCGGAUUGAUUGGGUGUAAAGGGUGUGCAGACGGCUUAUUAAGUCACUUGUUAAAUUCUUCGGCCUAACUGAAGGUCUGCAAGUGAUACUGAUGAGCUAGAGGGUGGAAGAGAGAAGUGGAAUUCUCGGAGUAGCGGUAAAAUGCGUAGAUCUCGAGGGGAACACCAAUGGCGAAGGCAGCUUCUUGGUCCAUUCCUGACGUUCAUACACGAAAGCGUGGGGAGCAAACAGGAUUAGAUACCCCCGUAGUCCCUGUCUCUUAUAA
rnacentral:rRNA from 1 species